GUGAGCAGUGAAAGCAUGGACUGACAGAUCGAACAAUUGGUGUGGUUACUGUUCAAUGAAACCCUCCUGCUGGGCUUGAGGUUCCUGCUGUGAAGGCUGAGCCACGCACCAACCACUUACUUCACCUGGGACACCUUCCUGAAAGAACACCAUUAAGUCUGAAGCGUCACCUGAUGGCAUCCUCAUGCAGCCGCACUCCUUCAGCAC